AACCAUUCUCACCUGCGGCUAGACCUGCGGAAGGAUCAUUAUCGAGUUAGGGUUCCUCUCACGGGCCCGAUCUCCCAACCCUGUGUCUACCACACCUUGUCGUUGCUUCGGCGGACCGGUCCUUCGACCGCCGGGGGUGCUUUGGCCCCCUGGAGCGCGUCCGCCGAUGGCCCAACCACACAAACUCUUGGUACCAAACCCUGUCGUCUGAAGCACUUGAUAUAUAAUCAACACAAAACU
rnacentral:misc_RNA from 1 species